rnacentral:rRNA from 1 species
AACGAACGCUGGCGGCAUGCCUAACACAUGCAAGUCGAACGAGACCUUCGGGUCUAGUGGCGCACGGGUGCGUAACGCGUGGGAACCUGCCCUUAGGUUCGGAAUAACACCCCGAAAGGGGUGCUAAUACCGGAUAAUGUCUUCGGACCAAGAUUUAUCGCCUUUGGAUGGGCCCGCGUUGGAUUAGCUAGUUGGUAGGGUAAAAGCCUACCAAGGCGACGAUCCAUAGCUGGUCUGAGAGGAUGAUCAGCCACACUGGGACUGAGACACGGCCCAGACUCCUACGGGAGGCAGCAGUGGGGAAUAUUGGACAAUGGGCGAAAGCCUGAUCCAGCAAUGCCGCGUGAGUGAUGAAGGCCUUAGGGUUGUAAAGCUCUUUUACCCGGGAUGAUAAUGACAGUACCGGGAGAAUAAGCUCCGGCUAACUCCGUG